rnacentral:lncRNA from 1 species
GUAUAGCUAUAAAUGCUUACAUUUAAAAGUAAGAAAUAUUUUCUUUUAAUUUAGAAAAAGACAUAUCUCAAAUCAACCACUUUACAACUUAAACCAGAAAAACAAACUGAAGGCAAGAAGAAGAAAGAAGAUAAUAAAGACUAGAGCAGAGAUAGACAAAAUAGAUGAUAGAAAAACAAUGAAACCAAAAGUUGGUUGUUUGAAAAGAUCAACAACGUUAGUAAACUUUUAGCUAGACGGACUAAGAGAAAAAGAAGACUCAAAUUACUACAAUGAGAAAUGAAAAUGGUGACUUUGCUAUCAAUUCUACAGAAAUAAAAUGGACUAUAAGAGAGUACUAUGAAAACUUGUAUGCCUAGAAAUCUAAUUACAUAUGAAAUGGAAAAAUUCCUAGAGAUAUAAAACUUACCAACACUAAAUAAUGAUAAAAUUAAAAAUGUAAAUAGACUGAUACCUACUAAGGAGACUGAACCACUAAUAAAAUAUCUCCUGACAACAAAAGCCCUGGACCUGAUGGCAUCACCAGUGAAUUCGAUAAAACAUUUAAAGAACUAGCAUCAAUCUUUUUCAAACUUUUCCAAAAAUGCUGUCAUGAGGGAACAUUUCCAAAACUCAUUCUAUAAGACAUCAUUACCCUAAUACCAUAGACGUAUCCUUUAUAAACACUGAUGCAAAAAUCCUCAAAAAAUUUCUAGCAAAACAAGUUAUUAAGCAGCAGAUUAAAAUGAUUACAGACCGCAAGCAAAAGAGAUUUAUUAAUAUUAAUGGAAAUCAAAGAUAUUUCAACAUACAAAAAUUGUUAAAUGUAAUAUACCAUAUUAACAAUGAAGGGUAAGAAUCACAUGGUUAUCUCAAUUGAUGCAUAAAUAGCAUUUGGCAAAAUUUUAUACCCUUUCGUGAUUUAAAAAAAACACUCAACAAAGUAGAAAUAUAAGGAAACCACCUUAACCUAAUAAAAAAAUUCAUAUAUAAAAGUCCCAUAUAAAACAUCAUAGUCAAUCGUGAAAAACUUAAGAGUUUUCCCUCUGUGAUAAGCAACAAGGCAAGGAAGUCUGAGCUUACUACUAUUCAAUAUAGUACUAAAAGAUCUGGCUAGAAAAAAAUAUGAAAGGAAAAGAAAAAUAAAAGGCAUAAAAUUGGAAAGGAAGAAGUCAAAUUAUCUUUGUUUACAGAGAAUAUAAUCUUAUUUAUAGAAAACGCUGAAAAUUCCACUAAAAUAGUAGAACCAAUAAAUUAAGUCACCACAUAAAAAUCAAGUGCAUAUCUAUACAAUAACAAAGAAUAAUCCAAAAACAAAAUUAAUAAAAUAAUUUAAUUUGCAAUAGCAUCAAAAAUAUAAACUAUUUUUAUUUAACCAAGAAAAUAAAAGACCUGUCUUAUAAAAGCUACAAAACAUUCCAAAAGAAAUUAAAGAAUAUAAAAAUGAAUGGAAAGGCAUCUCAUAUUCAUGAUUGGAAGACUUAACAUUGUUAUAAUGUCAACACCACAGAUUCAAUGCAAAUCUAUAGACUUAACGCAAUCCCUAUCAAAAUCCCAAUGAUGCCUUAAAGCAGAAAUACAAAAAACUCAUCCUAAAAUUCAUAGGAAUUUCAAGAGACUCCAAAUAGCUAAAUUGAUCCUAGAAAAGAACAAGCUAGAGCACUCAGACUCCUGAUUUCCAAACUUACUAUAAAGCUACAGUAAUCAAAACAUUGUGGUACUGGCAUAAAGACAGACAUAUGGACCGGUGUAAUAGGAAAGGUUGCCUAGAAGUAAAGUCUCACAUGUAUGGUCAAAUGAUUUUCAAUUACGGUGUCAAGAGUAUUCAAUGGGGAAAAGGCAGUAUUUUCAAUAAAUGUUGCAGGGAAAAUUAGAUAUCCAUAUGCAAAAUAAUAAAGUUGGAUCCUUACUUAACACCAUAUACAAAAAUUUAGUCAAAAUGGAUCCAUGACCUAAAUGGAAGGCCUAAAACUAUAAACUCUUACAAGAAAGAUAAGUUUUAAUACUUCAGAUUUGGCAAUAUUUUUUAAUAAGACACCUGACAUUCACAAAACAAAAUUAAAAAGAGGCAAACGGGCUUCACAAAAAGUAAAAAAAAAAAAGAAGAUGAAAUAAAAAUGCAUGCAUCAAAAGAAAAUUAUAACUACAGUAAAAGGCAAUUUACCUAAUGGAAGAAAAUAUUUGCAGAACAUAUAUCUAGUAAAGGAUUAAUAUUCAGAAUAUACAGAGCACUCCUAAAGCUCAAUAACAAAAAACAAGCAACCUGAUUCAAAAAUGGUCAAAAUACUUGAAUAGACAUUUAUCCAAAGAAGAUAUACAAAUGGCAAAUAAACACUUGAAAACAUGCUCAACAUCACUAAUCAUUAGGAAAAUGCAAAUAAAAACUACAAUGAGAUUAUUUUGUAGUUCAUAAGCGCGAUGACUGGGUGUUCACACACAGGUGCAAGUUGUGCCACCCUCGAAACUUGUUACACCGUUGGCACAUUACCCAUCAGACAUGAAAAAAAAAACUACAAUGAGAUACCAGCCCAUACCCAUUUAGGAUGGAAGCUAUCAAAAUAAAACAGAAAAUAAUAAUUUGGUAAGAAUGGAGAGAACAUAAAACCCUUGUGCACUGUUAGUGGGAAUAAAUAUAAAAUGGUAAAACUGUUGUGAAAAAUAAUAUGGUGAAUCAUCAAAAAUUCAACAUGAAAUUACCAUAUGAUUCUGCAAUUCCAUUUCUAGGUAUGUACCCAAUAGUUUCUUAAAUAUGUAUUUUAUACCCAUGUUGUUAAUAGCAUUACUAAUAAUAGCUAAAAUUUAGAAGCAACUCAAGAGUCUAUCAAGAGUAGAACGGAUAAGCAAAAUGUGGUUUUUGUAUACAACAGAAUAUUAUUCAACCUUAAGAAGGGAGGAAAUGCUAAUAUAUGCUACAACAUGUGUGAACCUUGAGGGCGUUAUAUCAAGUAAAAUAAGCCACUCACAGAGAGGCAAAUACUCUAUUAUUCGACUUAUAUGAGGUACUCAGUGUAGUCAAAAUCCUCAGAACAGACAGUGAAAUAAUGGUUGCCAGGUGCUAAUGGAGGGAAAAUUUUUCAGUUUUAAAGAUUGUAAGAGUUCUGGAGAUUGACAAUAAUGACGACUGAACAAUAAUAUAAAUGUGAUUAAUGAUAAUUACAUUAUGUGUAUUUUUACCAAAAUACAAAAUUGGAGAAUAUAAACAAAUAAGAAUAAAUAAAUAAAAAAACAAAUCAAACAAAAACCCUGGCUUAAAAGAACAGAAUUAUGAGUUUGGCUUUGAACAAGCUAAUUUGACAUGUUAUCGGGACUUCCAAAAGAGGAUUCAAGUAUCUAAUGAAAUAUAGUUAAUUUAAUGCCACUUAUUGCUAUUGUCAUUCACAGAUUCCACACUCAGAAGUUGGAACAGAAAAUGUAAUUUUUUGAGUCAUCUGCACAGAUCCUUGAUCACUAGGGAUGCUCUGGAGAUAGAACAGCCUCACGUUAUUCAUCAUUGAGCAAAGAUACCCAGGUCUUAAAGCCAUGUCCUCGCUGCAUCUGUCACUGCAUGCAGGAUUCUGGGAGGGGUAACUUUGAGCAAGGCAGCUGUGUGAUGCUAGUUGAAAUCUCUGAGAGAGGGAAUGGUGGAGAGAGUGGUGUUGCUGAGAGCGAAAGAAUGUUUGCAGAAAGCACUCCCUAAUGCUGGGACAACAUGUCCUCCUUUGAAGAGGCAAUAAGGCGACAAAUCACUUUGUCCACAAUUCUAGUUAUGCAUCACCACAUCUACCGUACUCCCAUGUAAUAUGUUUAACUUGGUCCCUCCUAAGCUACUAAUGACCUGGAUCUAUAAGAUAUACAUUUAAGAAUGACUACCAUAAAUAUUCAUUUAAAAGAAGUAUAUGGUUUAUGGACCAUGAAGAUAUUAAAAUUACCUAUGCAAUAAGAUGCUUCAGUACUUUCAAAAGUAU